AUAUUUUAUUCAUUUGCUUGAAUGAAUAAGUUUGAAAUUAUUUCUUUUGAAAAUAUUCGUUACAUUCAUUAAAUUAAUUCAAAUACCAGUUACCAAGUAAAAAUAACGUUAUACAAUAGUUCAGUGUGUAACAUGUUUUGUAUGUGCCAUAAAAUUACCUUUAUAUACAUCUUCCAAAUAAAUAAAGUGCCUUAGUACACUUGCUAAACAAUAAUAUAAAAUUGCUAACAGAUUAAACGCCACGUGAUAAUCACAUGUAUACAUAGAAAUGUGAAUAAUUUAUUAACCGUGGUUUCUCUUGAACUCAAUCGUUAAUAAUAAUCUAAUCGAUAUAAAUCUAUUCUCUCGCGAAGGCGCGCCCCUCCACGCUUAAUUAUCGUCGUGAUUCUACGAGUGACGCUCGUUCGCUCGUGAGUUUAUAGAUCUAUAUAGUUGAGAGAGCGAUACUGUAAAGUUUUACGGCUAAUCGCACGUGCCCGCUCAACUAGUGUUGUACUUCAUGAUACACGGCACGUGUCACUCGCUGGAAUGGUGAUGUAACAAUUUAUACUCGUGCAAUUGACAUACAUCUCUCGAUUGACAAAAUCAUCGGUUUAAAGAACAUUUUCUUUUUUUGUGUGAUAUGUAAUUUGUAAUAUAAAUUUAAUUCGUAAGGGCUGAUAAUUCGAUGUAAACUUGCCUGAUACAACGCAUUAUAGGCUGAAAUUGUUGAAUUUAAAACGAGUCACUAUUCUAAAUUAAUGUAAGAGUAAUUCUUUAGGUGCAUUUGUUCGUAAACAGAUGACCUAUAAAAUAUAUAACGCUGCGUUCUUAAAAAGUCGACCGACAUUUAUUUUCGUUUUUUUUUUUUUACAGUUAUCUAUAGAAUAUGUUUUGCUAAAGGAGAUAAGUUUUGUAAGGCGCUGUAAAUAUUUCGUCUCCAUUUUUUAUUUCCGUCUUUGUCUGCUUUUUAUAAGUGCAGCGUUGAUAUAGAACACCAAAAGGAUAAUUCUGUGUUCGAAAACAAAUGACCAUUGUUAAAAAUAUACAUAUAAACGAUUUUACUUUUUAUGUUUUUAUAUUUAAUAUAAAAAACAAUGUAGAUAUGUCACGUAAUGGAUAUAGUUAUUAAGUGGUUAGAAUUUUCACAACUAGUAACACCGUUUAGAUUGUAUGACCUAAAUUAAGAAAAAUAUUACUGCAACGUUUUUUUGUUAUUAUACUUCAAUAAAAUUAUGCAUUUUAUUGACAUUAAACAUCUUUGUGUACAAAUUAAUACAAAUUAAAUGUCGUGUCUGGGUUCGUUUCUAUGUGUAACAUUUUAUUGAAACGGUUCUGACGCAAAAGGAUUUAAUUGAAUUUGCAUACGCAUUCAUUUUUAAGGUAAAGUCACUCAUAUAUUGACUUGAUAUUAAUAAUGAUCGUCGUCGUUGAGGUGAUGGGAGGUAUAGACACAAUUUGAAUUACGUCCAUUCUCGUUAUAAGAUUAACGAUGUGCAGCGAAGACUGAUUGUCAAUAACGAAAGCAUAUUGCUCUCAUAAAAGAUAAUUAACUCAAUCUAUACUCCCAAAAGUAAUAUAAUUCUAUUACUUUUUUUUAAAUAAAAUCAAAUUUCAAACAAUUGUUAAUCGUAGUUUGUAAUUUGAUUUUUACUAUAAGUUAUAUACUGGCAACUAUUUCUUUAAAAAAAUAUUAUCUCUGGAAUUAUUCAUUUACUGGAAAUGUUUAAGGCAUUAUUUUAUUUCCAUUUUUGUUGGGGUUCAUAAUGUCAUAUGGUACUUGUACCAUAAGAUAGCAAUGUGAGCUGGUGUUCGUAAUAUUAUCAUAAAAUAUUCAGAUUUCCAAAAUUUUAUUCUGUUUCGAGAAGAACACGUUUCGAAGAUCCCGCUCCGCAAUGAAAGCAACGGAAACUGUAGUUUCAUCGAGACUCGUCGAAACGUUCUCUAAAAAACGAAAGUGUAUUUUUUUAAUAAUUGUUGUAUGUAUUUAUGAACAGAUAUUUUUUUCACAAAUACAUCAAAACAUCACGUUUGUUACAUUUGUAUUAAACUGAAUCUGUGUAUUACCUUGAAUUCGCUUUUUUAGUGUUUACGAAACUAUUUUAUAGUGAAAUUCGUAAGUGUAAGAAUAUACUUGAAAAUUAAAAUGUACAUGGUACUCUAAAGAUAAUAAGUAUUUAUUUAAGAUAUGCAAUUUUAGUUCUUAUAUUGUAUAUAAUAGUUGUCAACGUCAUGUUUUCUUACACCGAUAGCAUAUUGCCUAAUUCAUGUACUAACAGUUAACUAAUUGGCGAUGAUGAAUAAAUGCUUAAAUAAAAAUUUAUGUUAA